CGAAGCGAACCGGGGGAACUGAAACAUCUCAGUACCCCGAGGAAAAUAAAUCAACCGAGAUUCCCCCAGUAGCGGCGAGCAGACGGGGAGCAGCCCAGAGUCAGCAUCAAUAUUUACCGCAGGAGAAGGGUCUAGAAAAACCGGCAAUAAAGGGUGAUAGCCCCGUAUCUGAAGCGGUAAGUGUUGUGAACUCGAAGAGUAAGGCAGGACACGUGUUAUCCUGUCUGAAUAUGGGGGACCAUCCUCCAAGGCUAAAUACUCCUGACUGACCAAUAGUGAACCAGUACCGCGAGGGAAAGGCGAAAAGAACCCCGGCAAGGGGAGUGAAAUAGAACCUGAAACCGUGUACGUACAAGCAGUGGGAGCACCCGAAAGGUUGUGAAUGCGUACCUUUUGUAUAAGGGGUCAGCGACUUAUAUUCUGUAGCAAGGUUAACCGCAUAGGGGAGCCGUAGGGAAACCGAAUCUUAACUGGGCGUUAAGUUGUAGGGUAUAGACCCGGAACCCAAUGAUCUAGCCACGGGUAAGUUGAAG
rnacentral:rRNA from 1 species